GGCUCUGGAUAUUUAGGCAACAAAGGGAGAAUGGCCAAAAACUGGAAUUUUGCUACAUCUCGUAAUACUUUUUGAACAUGUAAAUUCUUAUAGCCUCUUUUGUGCCAGUUAAAAACUUUGAUUCGAUUGCAGGAGUUUAGAUAUACUCUUCUAUUGCUAAGGGAUAAUCAUGUUUUUGCAAUGCCUUAAUUCAUCAGUCAGAAUUUGGUUAUUCGGGUUUAUUUACUUGAAGCAGCAAUGUUUAUUACAG
rnacentral:lncRNA from 1 species